rnacentral:rRNA from 1 species
CGUAAAGCGCAUGCAGGCGGCCUGUUAAGUCAGAUGUAGAAACGGCCCGGGGCCGUUAACCUACGGUAAUUGCUAUUUAGUAAACGUGGCAGGCUAGAGUCUUGUAGAGGGGGGUAGGAAUUUCAGGUGUAGCGGUGAAAUGCGUAGAGAUCUGAAGGAAUACCAGUGGCGAAGGCGGCCCCCUGGACAAAGACUGACGCUCAGAUGCGAAAGCGUGGGGAGCAAACAGGAUUAGAUACCCUGGUAG